rnacentral:ncRNA from 2 species
GCUCACGAGAGGCAGCGACAAGCACCUGGCUGGCUGCCCGGCAACCUCUACUCCGUCUGAGGUGCUCCAGGGGAAGAGCCGGCUGGGCGACGGCCGUCGCCCGGCAAGGACGGAGU